ensembl:lncRNA
GGGUUAAUAAAGAUGUGUUUAUUUCACAAAAAUCUAUCUACACAUCAUUUAAAAAGGGGUGGGGGGAACCCAAGAGCAAAAACUGUAAAGAAUAGAGAGGAACAGGUCUGCUAAAACACAGAGAAAAGUGCUGCUCCACAUCAACAGUGUAAAGAACCAGAAAGUCGGGGUGCAGGCAGGAACCGGCAGCAGCCACCCCAGGGCAGGCAAGGCUGGAGUCAGCUGCCAGGGGUCCCACACCCCCUUUUUCUCUCUUUGGUGGGUGCUUACAGGGAUAAUUAGCUCCAUUAAAAAGAAAACAAAGCAGAUGAGCUAUGCCCAGCCCAGUCCACCCUCCCUGCAGCACAGCGAUCCCCACGUGCCAAGUGACUGCAGCAGGAAGCGCUGGGCUGGCCCUCAGCCCUUCCUCGGGAUGCAGGACGGGAAGGAAGAUGCACAAGCGACGGUUAUCUGUGCUGCCCCGAGCAGGAGGUGGAAGGCGAUGCCAUGGCCACAGGCGCUGGAGAGCCCCACUCCUCCUCCUGCUCCUUGCAUUGGUGCCAGACUGCCGCCCUGGUCGGGAAGCCAGUCCUUGCUUUGCAAAGGCUCCUUGUGCAGCCCCGCUGGCCAGGGCUCCCCAGAGACCCCCCAACAUGAGCUCCAGUUCAUUGACAUGAAUGGAGUAGGGGAGUAAAUCAGACCAAAUUACCAGCGUCAAACAAUGAAGGGGCGAGAGGAACAGCAAGAUGGGAGUUCCUUGUGUUUAUACGCUGAAUCAGACUUGGACUGAACUAGGCUGAUUCAGGAGCGGGUAAAUGUUUAACCACAACCCUGUACACGUGGGGAAGAGCCUGCAUGUGUUAAGGGACCGCAACUGAACUUCUCCACCUACCUAAACCCCAGGAUGGGUGUCCCACAUGGGAGGGACGACCUUAUUGAACCUGCUGCUGCAACAGCAUGAGGGGUGGGAACAUCUCAGCUGGUGGGCAGCGCAUCCCUUAAGGAUCACACACCCACCUGCCUCCCCACUGCUCUGGGACAGGGAAAAAGCUGGCUUCUGCAAGGAAGGGGCUCCAUGGACCCUCCUGCCAGGGUGAAGGUGCAACUGAGCUGCUGCAUGCCAAACAAAAAAGCUUAAAUUAACAGGUGUCUGCAAAUCAUUAGUGGCUAGAAUAAUAAGCAAGAACUUCUCAUAAAACAAGGAACACAGGUUUCAAGCAUCAGCUUUCACACCUUGACCCAAACAAAAACCUGGUUUUAAACAAAAGUUGCUGCACUCAAAAGUCAGGCAACAUUUGCUUUUAUUAUAAAUUAACGGGAGUGCAGCGCCUUGCAAAAACAACCUCGCCACCCAAAAAAGCAGAGCUGGCUUCUGACACUACAGGAAUACUGGUUAUUUACAGCACUAGCAUAGAUGCGCUUGGGGAAAACAGGUUUGCCCUCUGGCCGGAGCAGUCCGUCACAUUCGCAGGGGCGAUCAGUUCAAAGGACAACUCCCACGUCUCUGCCUCUUCCCAUAGCCCACAGUUCUACCCAAAUUAGUAUCCGCAAUAGAAAAGUAUAAUGCUUUAUAAUAAAUUAACAUAUACACCCACCUGGGCUGCAUCUUACAAGAUAAACACUCUGUUAUGUUUACAACCAAAUGUUGGCUCCUAGCUCGGACACCAGAAAGAUGUCACCCUGACCAGGUCUGACUUGGGGACCAAAGGUCAGUCAGUCUUCUCACCACACUGGGGUCCCCAGAAGCCCUUGGCUUGGGGAGGACUACUGAUGACUGUCGGUCCCUGCUGCGCACAGGAGUGAGAAGAGGCCACUAAGGUAGCACCCCCCUGCCAGCUCGCCAGGAAGUGUGGAAGUGCCCGUGAAAGAGGUGCCUGAUGUCUCCUAAAUCGAUGGUUUUGUCUGCUUUGCUUCAGCUGAUUUAUUCCUGAGAAACUCCUAAGGAUAGUUUAAAAAACCCAGAAACUAUCUCAACAGCAAAAAAGGUGUUUGGUUUUGUUUCCUUUUUUUUUUUUUUAAUUAAAAAAAAAAAAAGUCUUACACCUCUAAAACUCAUGCUGCAAAAAUAUCAGAACUAGAGGCCAAACCAAGAGCAACUACUCUGCUUAACAGCAACAACUUCUCUGAAAUGAGUAAAUGCCAGCGAAAGGAAACAUCUGCCCCUGCUAAAUCAG